UUCAAAAUAGCGUUAUAUUGGAAGAAGGCGUGGUUGUGAACCGAUUUCACCUAUAUUUCGUACAUGUCAUCAGAGUGUUAAGAAAAUAUUAUAUACCGAAUUUCAUUGAAAUCGGUCUAGUAGUUCCUGAGAUAUGGUUUUUGGUCCAUAAGUGGGCGAGGCCACACCCAUUUUCAAUUUUUCAAAAAAGUCUGGGUGCAGCUUCCUUCUGCAAUUUCUUCCGUAAAAUUUAGUGUUUCUGUCGUUUUUUGUUAGUCCGUUAACGCACUUUUAGUGAUUUUCAACAUAACCUUUGUAUGGGAGGUGGGCGUGGUUAUUAUCCGAUUUCUUCCAUUUUUGAACUGUAUAUGGAAAUGCCUGAAAAAAACGACUCUGUAGAGUUUGGUUGACAUAGCUA